rnacentral:rRNA from 1 species
GACGAACGCUGGCGGCGUGCUUAACACAUGCAAGUCGAACGAAGUGGCGAACGGGUGUGUAAUACGUGGGUAACCUGCCCUCCUUUUUGGGAUAAACCUUGGUAACGGGGUCUAAUACCGAAUAUAGGGGGUUGGGCACGCGGCCUAUCAGCUUGUUGGUGGGGUGAUGGCCUACCAAGGCGGUGACGGGUAGCCGGCCUGGUAGGGUGACCGGCCACAUUGGGACUGAGCUACUGCCCAGACUCAUACGGGAGGCAGCAGUGAGGAAUAUUGGUCAAUGGACGCAAGUCUGAACCAGCCAAGUAGCGUGCAGGAUGACGGCCUAUGGGUUGUAAACUGCUUAUUGGGAUAAAAAGGUACCAUAUGAAUAAGGACCGGCUAAUUCCGUGCCAGCAGCCGCGGUAAUAC